CUCUGACUAAUUAGAAUGCUAUUCUUAUUUCAACAUUGAAGGUAUUCCUAGUGAGACCGGCAGUGGUGUGAAUGACGGCUUUGCUUCUGUGGCUUCUAAUGAGAGGGGCCGAGAUUGAGGAACAGAAUUACCAUGGUGGCCUUUUCGCAGUUUGGUUCAGAUAAGGCCCUGGAACUGGAAGUAGCACAUCAAGUUAUUGCAAGGUGGCUAGAAUUAAGACAACUCCUAGGUGAUGACCAGCCUUGGCGUCAACAGCCUCCGGAUUGUCAUGUUUCAAAUGUUAACUUCAUGUUUUUAUCUACUCUUUAUGUCUGUUGGCACUUCAGGUGUAACGAAUUAGCUGGGUUACUCACUUGCUUGCAUGGACUUGUGCACUCUGCUCAGUAAUUUACCGUUGCAUGCUGUAUUAUCAACUGCUUAUGCUUUCCUUGGUUCUGAUCAAAUGGAAGUGAGGAUGCAUCUUGUGCUUCA